rnacentral:rRNA from 1 species
UACGUAGGCAGCGAGCGUUGUUCGGAAUUACUGGGCGUAAAGAGUGUGUAGGCGGUGUUCCAAGUUCGGUGUGAAAUCUCCCGGCCUAACUGGGAGGGUGCGCCGAAAACUGGAAUGCUCGAGCGUGGGAGAGGAAAGCGGAAUUCCUGGUGUAGCGGUGAAAUGCGUAGAUAUCAGGAGGAACACCAGCGGUGUAGACGGCUUUCUGGACCAUUGCUGACGCUGAGACACGAAAGCGUGGGUAGCAAACAGG